CAGUCGCCACGGUAAUAUGUAGGUGGCAAGCGUUGUCCGGAAUUAUUGGGCGUAAAGGGCUCGCAGGCGGUUUCUUAAGUCUAAUGUGAAAGCCCCCGGCUCAACCGGGGAGGGUCAUUGGAAACUGGGAAACUUGAGUGCAGAAGAGGAGGGUGGAAUUCCACGUGUAGCGGUGAAAUGCGUAGAGAUGUGGAGGAACACCAGUGGCGAAGGCGACUCUCUGGUCUGUAACUGACGCUGAGGAGCGAAAGCGUGGGGAGCGAACAGGAUUAGAUACCCGUGUAGUCCCUGUCUCUUAUAC
rnacentral:rRNA from 1 species